rnacentral:rRNA from 1 species
UUGGAGGGCAAGUCUGGUGCCAGCAGCCGCGGUAAUUCCAGCUCCAAUAGCGUAUAUUAAAGUUGUUGCGGUUAAAAAGCUCGUAGUCUGAGUUCUGUUCCGGACUGGUCGGGGAGGUCACCGCCCGGUGCUUGCCCGUCAGGUUCCGAACAGCCCCCGCCGCGAGCGGAGGCCAAGCCGGUUCUGCCGGGGUGCUCUUGACCGAGUGUCCCGUGCGGCCGGCCUUUUCACCUUGAACAAAUGAGAGUGCUCAAAGCAGGCUACUCUUGACACUAAAGCCCGAAUGUUAUCUGCAUGGAAUGAUGGAAGAUGAUCUCGGAUCCAUUUUGCUGGGUGGUGGGAUUCCGAGUUAAUGAUAAACAGGGACUGUCGGGGGCAUCCGUACUACGACGCGAGAGGUGAAAUUCAGUGACCGUCGUAGGACGAACAACAGCGAAAGCAUUUGCCAAGAAUGUCUUCGUUGAUCAAGAACGAAAGUCAGAGGAUCGAAGGCGAUCAGAUACCGCCCUAGUUCUGACCCUAAACGAUGCUGACCAGCUAUUCGUUGUCGUUAUUCCCAUGACGUGGCGAGACGCCCCCGGGAAACCUCAAGUUUUUGAGUUCCGGGGGUAGUAUGGUUGCAAAACUGAAACUUAAAGGAAUUGACGGAAGGGCACCACCAGGAGUGGAGCCUGCGGCUUAAUUUGACUCAACACGGGAAACCUCACCAGGCCCGGACACCAGAAGGAUUGACAGAUUAAGAGCUCUUUCUCAAUUUGGUGGGUGGUGGUGCAUGGCCGUUCUUAGUUGGUGGAGUGAUUUGUCUGGUUAAUUCCGGUAACGAACGAGACUCUGGCCUACUAACUAGUGGGCGGGUGUUCCGGUAAGGGGCCCCGCCCGACAAUGUCUUCUUAGAGGGAUGAGCAGCGAGUAUAGCUGCAGGAGAUUGAGCAAUAACAGGUCUGUGAUGCCCUUA